rnacentral:rRNA from 1 species
AAUAUUGCACAAUGGAGGAAACUCAGAUGCAGCGACGCCGCGUGAACGAUGAAGGACUUCGGGUCGUAAAGUUCUGUCCUAGGGGACGAUAAUGACGGUACCCAAGGAGGAAGCCCCGGCUACCUACGUGCCAGCAGCCGCGGUAAUACGGAGGGGGCAAGCGUUGUCCGGAUUUAUUGGACGUAAAGGGUGCGUAGGCGGCCUUUUAAGUCAGAUGUGAAAGGUCACGGCUCAACCGUGGUCAGCAUUUGAAACUGAAAGGCUUGAGUUAAGGCGAGGAAAGUUGAAUUCCUAGUGUAGCGGUGAAAUGCGUAGAUAUUAGGAGGAAUACCAGUGGCGAAGGCGACUUUCUUGACUUAUACUGACGCUGAGGCACGAAAGCGUGGGGAGCGAACAGG